GCGUCUCUGGUUGUAAAUGGAAACACGGCAGUCUCCAAAACUGCAAGAUAUACGUUCGAAUCGUAUGAGGCGUGUCA
rnacentral:tRNA from 1 species